GAUGAACGCUGGCGGCGUGCCUAAUACAUGCAAGUCGAGCGAACAGACGAGGAGCUUGCUCCUCUGACGUUAGCGGCGGACGGGUGAGUAACACGUGGAUAACCUACCUAUAAGACUGGGAUAAAUUCGGGAAACCGGAGCUAAUACCGGAUAAUAUAUUGAACCGCAUGGUUCAAUAGUGAAAGACGGUUUUGCUGUCACUUAUAGAUGGAUCCGCGCCGCAUUAGCUAGUUGGUAAGGUAACAGCUUACCAAGGCAACGAUGCGUAGCCGACCUGAGAGGGUGAUCGGCCACACUGGAACUGAGACACGGUCCAGACUCCUACGGGAGGCAGCAGUAGGGAAUCUUCCGCAAUGGGCGAAAGCCUGACGGAGCAACGCCGCGUGAGUGAUGAAGGUCUUCGGAUCGUAAAACUCUGUUAUUAGGGAAGAACAAAUGUGUAAGUAACUAUGCACGUCUUGACGGUACCUAAUCAGAAAGCCACGGCUAACUACGUA
rnacentral:rRNA from 1 species